GAUUCUCUCUUAGUAUAGUACAUCAUGAGAGAAAUUGGUGCAUAUUAUUAGGAACGGAUUUUGUGGACUGGAGGUGGGUAUGUGCAAGGGCAGUGGGCGCUGCCAGUGGAAGGUGCGCAGGCGCUGGUCACUAAAAAGAGAUGGCGUCCGAAGGGUACUCGUGUGUUGCUGCCUCAUUUUAUCUGGAUUUACUCAGAACAAGACGGUGACACGGCCCAUGGCUACCUGUGUGUGCUGGUGCAGGCUUGGUGCCUGUCGGGAGGUGCCUGGUAGGGCCGGGAGCUGCACAUGAGGACCAGCGAGGCUCACAAUAUUGUGACAGGUGGCGCUGGGGAGUUACCACGGCGAGCGGCUGGCUGGCUGCAGUGUUUUGGUUAGCACUGGUCAAUCUUGCCCUACACGCUCUAUUAACCAGUGUUUCCGUCUUCCCGACACGUUCUUCCUGCACCAAGCACCGUCAAGCAUCACCAGAGAGGCACGAGUACGUAAGCUAUCCAACAUCAGAACAGUAUAUGAAUAUGGCAAAUGCUGUUUUGACAUCAUUUCCUGCCAUCCUGAGAAACAGUGAUCUCGAGGAGCACGAAUUGCAGCUGCAAUGGAAAUUGCGCAUCCAGCGCAAGUUUCAGAAUUCAAGAAAGAGGCAGGAUUCCUCAGUGACUGAGGUGAUGUCAAGGAAAAAGAAGAUCCCUUGCAUAGCGCCAAAAGAGACUACGUGUCCACUGAUGUAUGGAGUAAAGGCUUACCUUCCACCAAGGCCCCAUUCAGAAGAUGAUGAGUCAUUAGAGAGACAUAGACAGUGGCUUGCUCUACAUUGGAUGAAAAAAGAUCCCGAGUUAGAUAAGAUAAUCAAGGAGUUCCUGAGAUUAGAACCACAAGCAGUUUUGAAAGGGCUGGAGAAAUAUAGGCUCGCAAUAAUUGCCAUUCUCAAAAAAAGAAAAGCAGUUCCUCUGUAUAUGGAAACCUUACUUGAACUCUAUGACCACAAUGAAAGUCAAUGCGAAUGCUUGCUUAGUUAUAUUGGGGUUACUUCACCUGCUUGGAGAAAGGAAAGACUCCAUUUUUACUAAGGUUAAAUUUCAGUACCUUUGAUUUUAGAGUGGUGUGUAUAUAUUGAAAUUUCUGAAUAUUUUAUCACCUUAAGAUAUACAUCUACAUAUAAAUUUUAUUUUUUAUGUUAAAAUGUUAUUAAUGUUUACACUAUUAUUUCUUCCUUAAGGUACCAGAACAACAACUAAGAACAGGGCAGUCUAGUGUGUAUUUGAUGGUGCACCUGUAGCUGAACCAGCAUGUAUUUCUAUGGCUGUAGUCUCAUUGGUAGCAGGGCUUUGUGUUUAAUAUUGAACACCCAAAAAAUUGUGAACAUUUCCUCCAUUUCACAACAUCCCAUCUCUUAGGUAUCAAGUAUGACAAAGGUAACACUUCAAAAACAAGAUCUCUACUUGUAAAACUCAAUGAAGUAAAGACAGAAUUGAGCUACAAAAAUGCAUAAAUCUGCUUCCAAAUAUAUUCAACUCCACACAUAAUGCCUCUCUCUCUCUCUCUCUCUCUCUCUCUCUCUCUCUCUCCAAAUUGGGAAGUAUUCUUCAUGUACCAUAUGAUGCAUUUAUUUUUAUUUUUUAUAUGCAUUUUUUUACCCUUUUUUUUUUUUUUUUUUUAUUUCUCUAUGUUAUUGCAAGUGAUACGUGAAGCUUCUUUAUUACUGUUCUGAGCAUUUCUGUAG